CGUCAAAUCAUCAUGCCCCUUAUGUCCUGGGCUACACACGUACUACAAUGGUCGGAAACAGAGGGCAGCCAAACCGCGAGGUGGAGCUAAUCCCUAAAACCGGCCCCAGUUCGGAUUGCAGGCUGAAACUCGCCUGCAUGAAGUUGGAAUUGCUAGUAAUCGCGAAUCAGCAUGUCGCGGUGAAUACGUUCCCGGGCCUU
rnacentral:rRNA from 1 species